UGGGGAAUAUUGGACAAUGGGCGAAAGCCUGAUCCAGCAAUGCCGCGUGAGUGAUGAAGGCCCUAGGGUUGUAAAGCUCUUUUACCCGGGAUGAUAAUGACAGUACCGGGAGAAUAAGCUCCGGCUAACUUCGUGCCAGCAGCCGCGGUAAUACGAGGGGAGCUAGCGUUGUUCGGAAUUACUGAGCGUAAAGCGCGCGUAGGCGGUUUUUUAAGUCAGAGGUGAAAGCCCGGGGCUCAACCCCGGAAUAGCCUUUGAAACUGGAAAACUAGAAUCUGGGAGAGGUCAGUGGAAUUCCGAGUGGAGAGGUGAAAUUCGUAGAUAUUCGGAAGAACACCAGUGGCGAAGGCGACUGACUGGACAAGUAUUGACGCUGAGGUGCGAAAGCGUGGGGAGCAAACA
rnacentral:rRNA from 1 species